rnacentral:lncRNA from 1 species
GCAUACCUGAUGUGUCAGCUUUAUGGAGUCUAACGUGCAGGAAGUUCUUUAAUCUGGUUUCUGUUUUCUAUCCCUUAAUGCCACACCCAAAUCUAUGUUCUCCACUUCUCUUUUGUUUCCUCACUAAGGACUCUUUCUCUCAGGUUUCUCAUUCUGUCCUCUUUUGCUAGAGUCUCAUCACUCCUCAAUUCUCACGGUGCUUCUACAUGUUAUAUGACUGUACAUUGCUGCUGCUGCUGCUACUACUACUACAACAACUACAACAACUACUACUACUACUACUACUACUGCUACAACAACUACAACAACUACUACUACUACUACUGCUACAACAACUACAACAACAACAACUACUACUACUACUACUAUUACUAUGAUUGAUUGUGUUGCCCUUGACAAUAGACAAAAGGUGAUCUCAGCACAUUAUGGUGAGGAA